rnacentral:rRNA from 1 species
AAAGGAAUUGACGGGGGCCCGCACAAGCAGUGGAGUAUGUGGUUUAAUUCGAAGCAACGCGAAGAACCUUACCGGGGCUUGACAUCCAUAGAACCCCGUAGAGAUACGGGGGUGCCUUCGGGAGCUAUGAGACAGGUGGUGCAUGGUUGUCGUCAGCUCGUGUCGUGAGAUGUUGGGUUAAGUCCCGCAACGAGCGCAACCCUUAUUGUCAGUUGCCAUCAUUCAGUUGGGCACUCUGGCAAGACUGCCGGUGACAAAUCGGAGGAAGGUGGGGACGACGUCAAAUCAUCAUGCCCCUUAUGUCCCGGGCUACACACGUACUACAAUGGCCGUUAACAACGGGGAGCAAUGGCGCGAGUCGGAGCAAAUCCCAAAAAGCGGUCUCAGUUCGGAUUGCAGGCUGAAACCCGCCUGCAUGAAGUCGGAAUUGCUAGUAAUCGCGAAUCAGCAUGUCGCGGUGAAUACGUUCCCGGGCCUUGUACACACCGCCCGU